UCCAUGUCCAUGGUGUACUCAAAUAAGAGUAUCCUCUCGGUGUACAACU
rnacentral:SRP_RNA from 1 species